GACGAACGCUGGCAGCGUGCUUAACACAUGCAAGUCGAACGAUGAAGCCGGAGCUUGCUCCGGUGGAUUAGUGGCGAACGGGUGAGUAACACGUGAGCAAUCUGCCCUUGACUCUGGGAUAACUGCGGGAAACUGUAGCUAAUACCGGAUACGACACCUUGGGGCAUCCCAGGGUGUGGAAAGAAUUUCGGUCAAGGAUGAGCUCGCGGCCUAUCAGCUAGUUGGUGAGGUAAUGGCUCACCAAGGCGACGACGGGUAGCCGGCCUGAGAGGGUGACCGGCCACACUGGAACUGAGACACGGUCCAGACUCCUACGGGAGGCAGCAGUGGGGAAUAUUGCACAAUGGGCGAAAGCCUGAUGCAGCAACGCCGCGUGAGGGAUGAAGGCCUUCGGGUUGUAAACCUCUUUAGCAGGAAAGAAGCGAAAGUGACGGUACCUGCAGAAAAAGCACCGGCUAACUACGUGCCAGCCGCCGCAGUAA
rnacentral:rRNA from 1 species